GGGUCGAUGGCGUAGCUGGUUAUCGCAUCUGUCUAACAUUACGAUCGUUGAUUUGCCGAUGUACACAGAAGGUCCUCAGUUCGAACCUGGGUCGACUCA